CGACCUCAUCACGUCGAAACACAGGUUCUCAUACGAUCGCUGAAGGUAAGCAACGUUGAGCCUGGUCAGAACCUAGAUGGGUGACCGCUUGAGAAUACCAAGUGUU